AGUUUGAUCCUGGCUCAGAUUGAACGCUAGCGGGAUGCUUUACACAUGCAAGUCGAACGGCAGCGCGAGAGAGCUUGCUCUCUUGGCGGCGAGUGGCGGACGGGUGAGUAAUAUAUCGGAACGUGCCCAGUAGCGGGGGAUAACUACUCGAAAGAGUGGCUAAUACCGCAUACGCCCUACGGGGGAAAGGGGGGGAUCGCAAGACCUCUCACUAUUGGAGCGGCCGAUAUCGGAUUAGCUAGUUGGUGGGGUAAAGGCUCACCAAGGCAACGAUCCGUAGCUGGUUUGAGAGGACGACCAGCCACACUGGGACUGAGACACGGCCCAGACUCCUACGGGAGGCAGCAGUGGGGAAUUUUGGACAAUGGGGGAAACCCUGAUCCAGCCAUCCCGCGUGUAUGAUGAAGGCCUUCGGGUUGUAAAGUACUUUUGGCAGAGAAGAAAAGGUACCUCCUAAUACGAGGUACUGCUGACGGUAUCUGCAGAAUAGCA
rnacentral:rRNA from 1 species